rnacentral:rRNA from 1 species
GUGCCAGCAGCCGCGGUAAUACGAGUAGUACAAGUGUUAUUCAGACAAACUGGGUGUAAAGGGUCCUUAGGUUGUUUUUUGUAAGUUGAUUCUUAAAUGUCAAAGCUUAACUUUGGAAUGGGAAUCAAUACUAAAUUUCUGGAGUAGUUUGCGGGUUGAUAGUAUUUUUUCAGUAGGAAAAUUAUCCUUAAAUAGAAAAAGGAGUAUCUAGGGUGAAAACAAUCAACUAGCUUCGAACUGACACUGAAGGACUAAAGCGUGGGGAGCAAACAGGAUU